AGAGGAGAGUCUUCUUCAACCUGGAUUACUUUUUUUCGAAAGGGAGGACACUUAAAAAAAAUUCUGCUUGUUUUUCUGGCUACAAUUCGACUAGAGAGGUAGAAGAGAAUUGUUGCAUGCUAAAUUUUGAGCUCGUUUAGGAGCUAAUUUUCCUCAAGAAACUUGCAAAAAGGGGAAGGAGAAGGCAGCGGCAAAGGGGAAGAGAUCUUACUCAAGGUUAUGCUUGACUUCGAGUUUCUGCUAUUAAAUUUCUUCGCCAGAAAAAGGUGGUUCGGUUGGUGGUGAUCUAUGCUAUCCAAAGUUUUUUUUAUAAUGUUGUUCAAUUGAGCAUAAAUAAAUGAGGUCUGAAUAAUGGGAAUUAAGUGGUUUAAAUGUCAGUUUAUGAUGUCCAAAAAGGAUGUGAAUUUAUGAUGUCUGGAAUUUGCUAUUUAAGGUGUUUAAAAACUACCAUGUACAACGUCUGUAGGCUGUAAGGGAUGGUUAAAUGAUGCCAUUCAUGAUGUUGGGAGUUAAAGAUUGAAGGUGUCCAAAGGCUAUAACUUUAGUUUGUCUAAAUGAGCUUGAAAUUUAUUUAAUACACGACAUUAUGAGUGUUUGUUGCUGUCCAGAGCAAGACAAAAAUUAAUUGUAAAAUUGUUGAUUAAUGCCCUCUUUGGUGGAUUCAUUAUUACUGUC